UACGGAGGGUGCAAGCGUUAUCCGGAUUUACUGGGCUUAAAGGGCGCGUAGGCGGGCAAGUAAGUCAGUGGUGAAAUCUCCGGGCUUAACCCGGAAACUGCCAUUGAUACUAUUUGUCUUGAAUACUGUGGAGGUCAGCGGAAUAUGUCAUGUAGCGGUGAAAUGCUUAGAUAUGACAUAGAACACCAAUUGCGAAGGCAGCUGGCUGCACAAAUAUUGACACUGAGGCACGAAAGCGUGGGGAUCAAACAGG
rnacentral:rRNA from 1 species